GGCAAACUAAUAGUGGGCUCGCGUGCAAUAUCUCAAUCCCUGUCUAACAAUUCUAACUAUGAAAAAACCAUAUUCAUGGAUCUGGUUAAUUACUAAUUACUUGAUUCGGUAAAUAAAGGAAAAAUAAUUUAUUAAUCCCUAACUUGUGCAUGGAGCAAAUUAAACGCACGUAAUACCUCAUAAAAUUCAGAGUUAUCCUGAUUCUUUAAUUGGAUAUAUGCAGUAAAAGGCAUACGAGAAUGGAAAAUGAUACCCAAAAAACUUGUAGCAUCAUUUUGAAUUGUACCUUUCCAGCCAAUGUGGGUUCAAAAUGACCAAAAUUGAUCAAGAAAUUACCCACGCAGAACUUUUACACAUGAUCGAUUCAAUUAUAAGAUGCAUAAGAUUAUGAAUCCGAUUAUGACUAAAAAGUAAUUGUGUUUCAACAAAAGUAUCCGUGGAUUUAUCCCAAUAGAGGCAAUAGCAAGUCUGAAAAUACAAACCAAACCCUUCUUUCAAAGCCAAUGAAAAAUGAAAAAUUUUCAAUCCCCAUACAUAUCUGUGUGGAAAUUAUUUUGGGUAGAUGAUAUACGUCCAAAACUAAGUCUUGGCAAGCCCAACAAAACCCAUGUCUUACGAUUAGCGAUAAAAUCGGUUUGGAAUCGAUCUGUUUUUUUUUUCCACUUUUCGCACUGAACCAUUCAAGUCUGUUUUUGAAACUCUUGCACCUGCACCGACCGUUUUGUGGAAGUAACCAUUCAGUUCGGUGUGUGCUUGGAACAGUUUGGUUCGGUCAUCUCAAUCAUUUUUAAAAAAAAUCUCAAUCAUUUUUUAAAAAAAUCAGUCGAAUUCAUAAUAGACUAAGGAAAAAACUUUAUUUUUCAAAACAGAAUUGGGGGGUGGGGUUGGGGAAAGGAUGCUCAAAAUAGCCAUGAAUAAUAGUAGCUCAAACAACAACUACCCCCGGAAUCAAACAAAAUAAAUAGAAAGAACCAACCCAUAAUUAAAUUUUUUGGUGGAAAUUGAACUUCCCAUAGUGCAAAAAACCAACCCAUAAACUACUGUGACAAAUAACAAAGAAAAGAGGAAAAAGUUAAUGACCAAAUGAAUGUGAAUUAAAGUGAGAUAUACAUAACAAUCAAUAACUUUUUAUAUCAUUUGGCUAACUCAACGGUUUAAAGUUGAAUUGCAACAAUAAUAAAUUUAAGGUCCCUACAACUGAGAGAGAGAGAGAGAGAUUGAUUUUGGCUGAUUAUAACGUGUAUUCACUAAUUAUAGAUUACUAUAAGUAGUCACGAAUUUCUGGAAAAUCAAUUCAUAGGUAAUCCCAUGAUUUAUGGGAUCAGUUAUUAACUGAAAAUCAAUUCAUAGGUACAUAUAUGUAAUUUAGCCUUUUUAAAAAUCCAUAGGUAAUUGGCCUUUUUAGAAGGAAAUACGUAAAUAUCACUUGGAUAUGUACAGUCUCAAUACCCAAAAAAUCAAUAUGUACCUAUCACUUUAAAUUCCAAUGCCUAAUUUAGAGUUACCCAAAAAAUUAAUUCGUACAUAUCACUUUCAUUCCAUCAGAAAUGUAUUUCCAAUCCAACGGUGGAAAAUAUGUACCAAUCCAACGGUGGAAAAUAUAAACCACCCUCCCAUAUUAUAUAGAUACACAAGUGUGUGUGUAGAUGUAUAUACGUGUUUUCACUAUGUUUCUGCACGGACCCCAUCUUAGAAAGAUUUGACCACAAUGAAUCUGUUGCUGGAUUCCAAUGCAGUCUUUUUAAUCUAGCCAACCAAUUUGUUGAACGUAUGUUAUGCAUUACAAAGCGUCUAUAUACAACCUUGAAUUAAAGAAUAAAGGAAGUGGUUGAUAUAGGACUAUAAAACCAAACAGUUAGAUGUUUUGCAGGCUAGCUUACUAGAAUUAGAUUAUGAUGGUAACCUGCAAUCAAGACAUAAUGAGAACGGCACCAAUUGUCCCGCAGAAACCGUGUGUGUACUUGAAGCUGGGUUUUAUGAAGCUGUCAAAGAAACUUAUAAGCAUAUUGUGCAGGCAUUUCACAGCAUAGGCACUUGGAAUAGCUGAGACACAUUUUGUGCAGAGUCACUCGGGAACAUCACUCUGUGGAAGGCUCUAUUUUAGACAUAUGUAGCGAAUCUGCGGUUAGGCAUCAUAUGUGAUGCAGUAGUCAAGGCAAUUGAUUUCGCUGUAUCUAAAUAACUUAUUUCCAUGCUGAGAUUUUUGCCUCAUUAUAUUCAAAAGGAUAUGGGAUCUGUAAUGAAGAAGCAAUGGAGGAAUCUAGGCUUGAUAAAACUCAAGAGGCAAAAGUAACAGGUACGGGAGAGGGUGCAGGGCAAAUUGAUGUUAGUGUUCAAAUAACUGACGAAGAUCAACUCCUUGGGGAUUCAGAAAAGGUAUGGAUCCGGACUUCAGAGCCCAUAAGUAUUGAUGCUAUUUAUCUUUUCUCCUUUGUGCUUCUGCAGCCGAAUGACGGACAAGCGGACUAAGGUGAAGUUCCCAGCAAAAAACAACAUAGGUAUUGAGAUGGAACAGGAUUUUGCUGCUCAUACAUUUAGUGUUAGUGAGGAAUCAGGAGAUGACGAAGAUGGAAAGAGAUACAUAUUUCCUCCAUCCAUGGAAAGAGAUACAUAUUUCCUCUUUUUCUUUUUGAUCUGACAUUUGACUAACUUGUACAGAUUAUCUCAAGCUUGACAUUUAAGCAAGAGAACCCCAUAGUAGAUGAACCGGUGGUUGAUCUCUUGAAGUAUGUGAACAACAUGCUGGAUGUUGUAGUUGCACGACUCCCUUCAGGACAGAAUCCUGUGCAACAGCUUGUUCCACAAAACGGAAAACUUGAAGCGCUGCGUAAGGGAUGUCUUGAGUAGAAAGCCCAUGGUCGCAUGUCUACUUCUUGAUAGCCCUCAAGAGUCCAUGAUGGAUUGCAUGGAAUCUCCUUAUUUAUUGUGGUUGUCACAUUCCCUCUUCUCUAAAAAUACACCCCAUUUCACAAAAUUGCCCUUUUGAUUUGUGAGAAUGUGUCCCCAAAAGUAACGAGUUAAAGGCAGUUUUUGUACAAAAGGGGAGUGUGGUAAUUAUUUCUUUACUAUUUUCCCUCUUUUUUUUUUUUACUUCCUGAACGAAAAUAGGUCCUCUGCCAUGAACUUAAUUAUGCAUUUUUGGGCCUCCAGGAGGUAUCAUUUCUGGGUGGUAAUAUGAAGUUUGCAAAAUACCUUGACUCAUUCCCGUUUCUAUACUAUAUAGUCCUCAAGAAUUCCAAGAACCCUGACCGAUUUAUUGAGAAAAGUAAUUUUGUACAUUAACAAACAAUUGCAGCUUAUUUGUUGUGAUAUUCUCUUGUAGAUCAUGGUAUUUUUACUGUAUACUUCAGCCUAUGGUGACGGUUGAGUUCCUUCCCAGGAGCCCUUUUAGUAUUAGAAUGACAACAAGCGUAAGGAAUUGUGGAACGGAAAGGUACUCUAGGGCGUUAAUCUCGAGUUGAAGUUUUGAUCGUUGUUCUGUAUUUCUCCUGGCUUUCAUCAUUCUUCUUCUUUCUCAUUCCGUAGUCGGAGAAGAAUCAAAGCCAUAUUGGGAUGGAUUGCUCCGGCUAAAGCAAACCACCAGUUUGGAGAGUCCUCACCAGGUCUUUCUUGAUACGCAGUCCUUUGCCGCUUUCAUCUUUGUAUUCAACAGGUAGAUCAAAAGCUAAAACUCGUACCUUGGCAUUGGCAGAGUUUAAGGAGAGAUCAUUCUUCUUCGAUUGUUAUUUGGAGAGGAAGCCAGUACAAGCUUCCCUUUUUGAUAGUCCACACUUUGGCAAAUGAUUCUUGGUUGGACUUCAAAACUUCGUAUCCUGGCGGCUAUACUGCAGAAGUAACUACUCUCUUUCCUAGAGCAACGGAAAAGGACGUCAAAGAAGUUUUGCUUACUGUGGUGAAAUUGAACAAGUGGAAAUAAUAAGAUAGUCUUCUACUUGUCAGUUUCUGGUAACUAAUUUUUGUGUCCUAUGUAGUCUGUACUGUAUUUUGAUCUUCAUUACAUGUAGAUUAUUCAAUCUCUCUUGCCUCUUUGAAAACUUAUCCUGUUGUCCCUUUCAUGAAACUUGAAUUUUGGCCGGUACUUUGUGGAUGUUUGUCACAAAUCAGAGUUUUUU